UACGAAGGUCCCAAGCGUUAUCCGGAUUUAUUGGGUUUAAAGGGUGCGUAGGCGGGCUAUUAAGUCAGUGGUGAAAGCCCCAAGCUUAACUUGGGAAUUGCCAUUGAUACUGAUGACCUUGAGUACAUUUGAAGUGGGCGGAAUGUGUCAUGUAGCGGUGAAAUGCUUAGAGAUUACAUGGAAUACCAAUUGCGAAGGCAGGUUACUACUAAUGGAUUGACGCUGAUGGACGAAAGCGUGGGUAGCGAACAGG
rnacentral:rRNA from 1 species